UACAGAGGUCCCGAGCGUUGUUCGGAUUCACUGGGCGUAAAGGGUGCGUAGGCGGUCGGAUAAGUCUGAUGUGAAAUCUCACAGCUUAACUGUGAAACUGCAUUGGAUACUAUUCGGCUUGAGGUCUGGAGGGGGGACUGGAAUUCUCGGUGUAGCAGUGAAAUGCGUAGAUAUCGAGAGGAACACCAGUGGCGAAGGCGAGUCCCUGGACAGGUCCUGACGCUGAGGCACGAAAGCUAGGGGAGCAAACAGG
rnacentral:rRNA from 1 species